rnacentral:rRNA from 1 species
GUGGCAGCCGCCGCGGUAAUACGUAGGGUGCGAGCGUUAAUCGGAAUUACUGGGCGUAAAGCGCGCGUAGGCGGGUUUUUAAGUCUGAUGUGAAAGCCCACGGCUCAACCGUGGAGGGUCAUUGGAAACUGGAAAACUUGAGUGCAGAAGAGGAAAGUGGAAUUCCAUGUGUAGCGGUGAAAUGCGCAGAGAUAUGGAGGAACACCAGUGGCGAAGGCGACUUUCUGGUCUGUAACUGACGCUGAUGUGCGAAAGCGUGGGGAUAAAACAGGAUUAGAUACCCUGGUAGUCCACGUCGUAA